GUUUUUUUUUUUUUUUUUUUUUUUUUUUUUUUGGUUUUCUUUCUACUCCUCUCUUCGGACUUGCAUUCAAAAUUCGUGAGUGAAUUGCACAAGUCCGCAAUGUAUAAAAGAGAAUAGAAACACAAAGUAUAUUGAUCAUUAAAAAAAAAAAAAAAAAAAAA
rnacentral:ribozyme from 1 species